GACGAACGCUGGCGGCGUGCUUAACACAUGCAAGUCGAACGGACAGGCCCUGCUUUUGUGGGGUGCUCGAUUGGCGCACGGGUGAGUAACACGUGAGUAACCUGCCCUUGACUUUCGGGUAACUUCAGGAAACUGGGGCUCAUACCGGGUAGGAGCUCCUGCUGCAUGGUGGGGGUUGGUAAGAUUCGGCGGUUGUGGAUGGACUCGCGGCUUAUCAGCUUGUUGGUCGGGUAGUUGCUUACCAAGGCUUUGACGGGUAGCCGGCCUGAGAGGGUGACCGGCGACAUUGGGACUGAGAGACGGCGCAGACGCCUACGGGAGGCAGCAGUGGGGAGUAUUACAGAAUGGGCGGAAGCCUGAUGCAGCAACGCCGCGUGCGGGAUGACGGGCUUCGGGUUAUAAACCGCUUUCGACUGUGACGAAGAGUGCGUGACGGUAAUGGGUAAAGAAGCACCGGCUAACUACGUG
rnacentral:rRNA from 1 species